rnacentral:rRNA from 1 species
AGUGAACGCUGGCGGUAGGCCUAACACAUGCAAGUCGAACGGCAGCACAGUAAGAGCUUGCUCUUACGGGUGGCGAGUGGCGGACGGGUGAGGAAUACAUCGGAAUCUACUUUUUCGUGGGGGAUAACGUAGGGAAACUUACGCUAAUACCGCAUACGACCUACGGGUGAAAGCAGGGGAUCUUCGGACCUUGCGCGAUUGAAUGAGCCGAUGUCGGAUUAGCUAGUUGGCGGGGUAAAGGCCCACCAAGGCGACGAUCCGUAGCUGGUCUGAGAGGAUGAUCAGCCACACUGGAACUGAGACACGGUCCAGACUCCUACGGGAGGCGGCAGUGGGGAAUAUUGGACAAUGGGCGCAAGCCUGAUCCAGCCAUACCGCGUGGGUGAAGAAGGCCUUCGGGUUGUAAAGCCCUUUUGUUGGGAAAGAAGAGCAGCAGGUUAAUACCCCGCUGUUCUGACGGUACCCAAAGAAUAAGCACCGGCUAACUUCGUG